rnacentral:pre_miRNA from 8 species
CUCUUUGGUUAUCUAGCUGUAUGAGUUAUAACACUGUCAUAAAGCUAGAUAACCGAAAGU